GAUGAACGCUGGCGGCGUGCUUAACACAUGCAAGUCGAACGAAGCACUUUAUUUGAUUUCCUUCGGGACUGAUUAUUUUGUGACUGAGUGGCGGACGGGUGAGUAACGCGUGGGUAACCUGCCUUGUACAGGGGGAUAACAGUUGGAAACGGCUGCUAAUACCGCAUAAGCGCACGGCAUCGCAUGAUGCAGUGUGAAAAACUCCGGUGGUAUAAGAUGGACCCGCGUUGGAUUAGCUAGUUGGUGAGGUAACGGCCCACCAAGGCGACGAUCCAUAGCCGACCUGAGAGGGUGACCGGCCACAUUGGGACGGAGACACGGCCCAAACUCCUACGGGAGGCAGCAGUGGGGAAUAUUGCACAAUGGGCGAAAGCCUGAUGCAGCGACGCCGCGUGAGCGAAGAAGUAUUUCGGUAUGUAAAGCUCUAUCAGCAGGGAAGAUAAUGACGGUACCUGACUAAGAAGCACCGGCUAAAUACGUG
rnacentral:rRNA from 1 species